rnacentral:rRNA from 1 species
UGGGGAAUAUUGGACAAUGGGGGCAACCCUGAUCCAGCAAUGCCGCGUGUGUGAAGAAGGCCUUCGGGUUGUAAAGCACUUUAGUUGGGGAAGAAGGCAAGUUGUUUAAGAGAUGAUUUGUUUGACGGUACCCAAAGAAUAAGCACCGGCUAACUCUGUGCCAGCAGCCGCGGUAAUACAGAGGGUGCAAGCGUUAAUCGGAUUUACUGGGCGUAAAGGGCGCGUAGGUGGUCAUUUAAGUUUGAUGUGAAAUCCCUGGGCUUAACCUAGGAACUGCAUUAGAUACUGAAUGACUGGAGUACUGUAGAGGGUAGUGGAAUUUCCGGUGUAGCGGUGAAAUGCGUAGAGAUCGGAAGGAACACCAGUGGCGAAGGCGGCUACCUGGACAGAUACUGACACUGAGGCGCGAGAGCGUGGGGAGCAAACAG